rnacentral:rRNA from 1 species
UACUCCUACGGGAGGCAGCAGUGAGGAAUAUUGGACAAUGGUCGGAAGACUGAUCCAGCCAUGCCGCGUGAAGGGAAAGGUCCUAUGGAUUUUCAACUUCUUUUGUACGGGGGCAAUAAGGUCCACGCGUGGGCCGAUGAGAGUACCGUACGAAUAAGCAUCGGCUAACUCCGUGCCAGCAGCCGCGGUAAUACGGAGGAUGCGAGCGUUAUCCGGAUUUAUUGGGUUUAAAGGGUGCGUAGGCGGAUUUUCAAGUCAGUGGUGAAAUACCCGGGCCAAACCCGGGAGCUGCCGUUGAAACUGGGAGUCUGGGAUACGGUUGCCGUGGGAGGAAUGAGUAGUGUAGCGGUGAAAUGCAUAGAUAUUACUCAGAGCACCGAUUGCGAAAGCAUCUCACGAAGCCGUCAUUGACGCUGAGGCACGAAAGUGUGGGGAUCGAACAGGAUUAGAUACCCUGGUAGUCACGGGGGUACUCCUACGGGAGGCAGCAGGAUUAGAUACCCUGGUAGUCA